rnacentral:lncRNA from 11 species
CACGUGAGUCCAGGUUGCAAGACUACGCUGUACAAACUCUGAGAAGACAACAACUGAUGGCUGAGCAGCUUCCAACCUUGUUGUAUGCUCACGUGGUAUUCCCCCCCCCCCCAACUGCCCCUUCGUGCUCUGGGUUUCCUGCGGCAGCUGCUAAGAAUAACAAUGGAUAUCCUGGACUGAAGAUGCUGCGGGUUCAGGGUCCCAGCAUGCCUAGGCUCCGAAGGAUCAAAUAAGACAUGAAUGGGUUGAAGGCAAGGAACAGAGACUUUAUUCACUUCAGCCAAAAGAGGACAUCAGAGAGUCUGCAGUCUCAAAUCAGACAUAAAGCAAUUGAUUCAUACAGAUACAUUUAUAGAGGCUUAACAACUAUUCAAACAAUGGCCUUCUCCCACUCAGAGCACUGAUUGGUGCAAAUUGGUGCCAGUUACGAGCCGUGAACUGAUCGAUGGAGCCAUGCUCUCUGCCACUGUUACUGAUUGGUUUCCUAGUCUGGUGGGAA